UAAGGAAUAUCACUUCUUGAAAUUGAAAGCGAAGAAAAGAAAAGAAAAAGAAAGAAACAGUGAAAAAAGGCAAAUCGAUGGAGGGAGGGGAAUAAAGAAUUGAAAGAAUGGAGGACUCCAACGACCUUCAGCAGCAGAGCAAAGCCCUGGACAAGCUUACUGACCGAGUCGAGGAUCGCCAGCUCUAUUCGACCCGAGUCCAAGAGAUCAAUUUUAUGAUAUAUUUUUCUAUGCUAUCUGGCUAUGGCUUCAAUUGCUGCUCCGAAAGAGGCUGACAUUCAACCUGCCAGAGUGAGGGUAGUUAUUAUUAUUUUAUUUUUGUCGGUGUUGAGUCAUUGAUUGAUGCCAUGUGUGGGUAGUAGAUAAAUGCACGCUGUUUACAUUUUUAAAUAGUAGAAGUGAUUCAAUUUUGUGUUUGGGGGCUUUCGGACAUUUUAUUUGAUCAUAGAAAUUCAAUAUUACGGUUUACGGUUUAGCCGUCUUGAUACUGAAAUCCCUUUUGGGCGAAAAAAGUGGCUCUUAUUCUUGCCUUAAGGCUUGGAUCUGAAUUGCAUGUUAUAUUGUAGCCUAUAUGCCGGAGCAGUAUGAACAAAUGUUAAUGGAGUAGUGAAGAUAAAAUGGGAAAGGGAACCCAUUUUGAAGUUUGGAAAAUCAGCUCUUGUCCAAAUCAUUGUUCUAUCAAUCACUGGUGGAAUGCAGUCAAGCUCCAUUGAUCCAUGCCAAAUUUUUAUCUAAUUCCAAUGGAUAAUAGGCAAAAGUUGAGUGGAUCCACCAUUCUAGUGAUGUGAGCAAGGAGUAGAUUAUCAAGAUAACCCAAUAGGUCAUAGCCAAGGAGAACAGAGUGAAACUGUGCAUGUCAUAGUGGAUAGUUGGUGUAAAUUUCCUGUGGAAGUCGAGCUUCUACAUUAGUGCAGAUGCUUCUAGGAGUGCUGAAGGAUAGCAGUUGAUGUUGGAGUGCUGAUGACAAGUCUGAUUUUUCCCAAGGAUAUGCUUUAAUUGUCAUGACAAAAUCAGAUCUAGGUUGUCCGCAGGGGAAAGCUUCUGAUACCAAAGAUACGAAGGAUGAAUAAAUGGCUUCUUUAUUACACAUAAAACUUUUGGCAAAAACUUUCUUCUCACAAACAAGCAUGAUGAAUUUUAAUGGUUCAACAAACUUGACAUCAUUUUGCAGCGGCGGAGGUAGUGUGGGGCUGGGAUGGGCUAUAGCCCAGCCCGACCCCCUAGCCUAUAUGGAAAAUUAAGAAUAAUUUGUUCAAUUUUGGUCCAAAUAUUUGUGUUUGUCCAACUUUGAAUUCUAACCCAAAGCUCAAUGCUCAAUUAAUCAAAUCUUAUUGAAGAUGCUACAAUUAUUAAAUACUAUUUCAUGACAUUUAUGAAACGUGAAUAUCUUAUUUUUAAAUUAGGCAUUUUAUUUAAUGCAUAUUUGACUA